CGUAAGGACAUGUGGACAGUAUGGGAGUGAGAAUGUUGGCAUGAGUAGCGAGAUGUGGGUGAGAAUCCCCCAGGCCGUAAACCCAAGGUUUCCAGGGGAAGGUUCGUCCGCCCUGGGUUAGUCGGGACCUAAGCUGAGGCCGAAAGGCGUAGGUGAUGGACAACAGGUUGAUAUUCCUGUACUCCCGAUAACCGUUUGAGAGAAGGGAUGACACAGUAGGAUAAGCUAAGCACACUGUUGGUUAUGUGUGCCC
rnacentral:rRNA from 1 species